rnacentral:rRNA from 1 species
GACGAACGCUGGCGGCGUGCUUAACACAUGCAAGUCGAACGGAAAGGCCCUGCUCUUGUGGGGUGCUCGAGUGGCGAACGGGUGAGUAACACGUGAGUAACCUGCCCUUGACUUUGGGAUAACUUCAGGAAACUGGGGCUAAUACCGGAUAGGAGCUCCUGCUGCAUGGUGGGGGUUGGAAAGUUUCGGCGGUUGGGGAUGGACUCGCGGCUUAUCAGCUUGUUGGUGGGGUAGUGGCUUACCAAGGCUUUGACGGGUAGCCGGCCUGAGAGGGUGACCGGCCACAUUGGGACUGAGAUACGGCCCAGACUCCUACGGGAGGCAGCAGUGGGGAAUAUUGCACAAUGGGCGGAAGCCUGAUGCAGCAACGCCGCGUGCGGGAUGACGGCCUUCGGGUUGUAAACCGCUUUCGCCUGUGACGAAGCGUGAGUGACGGUAAUGGGUAAAGAAGCACCGGCUAACUACGUGCCAGCAGCCGCGGUGAUACGUAGGGUGCGAGCGUUGUCCGGAUUUAUUGGGCGUAAAGGGCUCGUAGGUGGUUGAUCGCGUCGGAAGUGUAAUCUUGGGGCUUAACCCUGAGCGUGCCUUCGAUACGGGUUGACUUGAGGAAGGUAGGGGAGAAUGGAAUUCCUGGUGGAGCGGUGGAAUGCGCAGAUAUCAGGAGGAACACCAGUGGCGAAGGCGGUUCUCUGGGCCUUUCCUGACGCUGAGGAGCGAAAGCGUGGGGAGCGAACAGGCUUAGAUACCCUGGUAGUCCACGCUGUAAACGGUGGGUACUAGGUGUGGGGUCCAUUCCACGGGUUCCGUGCCGUAGCUAACGCUUUAAGUACCCCGCCUGGGGAGUACGGCCGCAAGGCUAAAACUCAAAGGAAUUGACGGGGCCCCGCACAAGCGGCGGAGCAUGCGGAUUAAUUCGAUGCAACGCGUAGAACCUUACCUGGGUUUGACAUGGAUCGGGAGUGCUCAGAGAUGGGUGUGCCUCUUUUGGGGUCGGUUCACAGGUGGUGCAUGGCUGUCGUCAGCUCGUGUCGUGAGAUGUUGGGUUAAGUCCCGCAACGAGCGCAACCCUUGUUCACUGUUGCCAGCACGUUAUGGUGGGGACUCAGUGGAGACCGCCGGGGUCAACUCGGAGGAAGGUGGGGAUGACGUCAAGUCAUCAUGCCCCUUAUGUCCAGGGCUUCACGCAUGCUACAAUGGCUGGUACAGAGAGUGGCGAGCCUGUGAGGGUGAGCGAAUCUCGGAAAGCCGGUCUCAGUUCGGAUUGGGGUCUGCAACUCGACCUCAUGAAGUCGGAGUCGCUAGUAAUCGCAGAUCAGCAACGCUGCGGUGAAUACGUUCCCGGG